GGAAGGAAGGCCCUGUUUGGGGCUAGAGGUCAGAGCUUCAGAGUUCAGGGCCCACGUAGAAAGGGUCAGGCCCUUCGAUGCUAAAACCAAAUUCGCUGGAUUCGUUUCCGAGUUAAUAUACCUGGAAUGAGCUCGGUCAGGGUCAGUGAUGUAAUUUAACCCUUGAUCUUGAUUUUCUCCCAUCCUGAAAAUAUCAGCUGCUGAGUGAGUUUGGAGGAAAGAUUGGAGUAGAGGGUACUGUGACGGUCACUGGUCCAGCAGGCACCAGCAGGGUUCAGAGGGCUGACCUGCUUGGCAGGAAGCAGGGUGCGGGUGGGGCUUUGAAAGCCCUGUCUGCUGGAAGUUGAGGGAGAGGGGUGUGAUGCCCUUCCCCAAACCCAGCAGAAUCAAGUCGGAAGGAGCACCUGGUAUCUUACUGCCUCUCCCCUGGAUUCCACCUACUGGAACCAGCCAAGCUCGCCAUACUUUUUUCUUUUCUCUUUUCCUAAACUGGGAUUGAACCUGGAGGUGCUCUACAACUAAGCUGUCUCUCCAACCCUUUUUAUAUUUUAUUUUGAGAAAGGGUCUCAAUAAGUUGCCUAGGCUGGCCUCCAAUUUGUGAUCCUCCUACCUCAGCCUCCCAAAUUGCUGAGAUUACAGGCCUGUGACUGGCUCAUAACGUUUCAUUGAAGCGAAAAACAGUCAAGAUAUGAAUAUUCCCUAAAGCUACUUUGGAACACUUUCAAGAGCCAUUUCACAGCAAAAUAGGCCAAAGGACAAGAUUACACACACAAGGCUGGAUCACCCACUUGGAGAGCUGGUUCUGGAAGAAGAAUUUUGAUUUCAUGCCUCAUCCAUUUCACAGAUUAGUGCAAGAGAGGAGAAGAAGGCAUUGUUGGGAGGGACGGAGGCCUGGUACUUGUCUAAGAGGUUCCCCUUUGCUUGGUGACAGGCUCUUACGGAAACAUCUUAAUAAAAGGGUCAUGAGCAGCCUGGCAACCUUCCAACCCUCCUUGUACCCAAGACAAAAAAUGUUGUUCUGACAAAAGUAUUUAGGUGAUUUCUUAGCCCGUUUACUGCUUUACAGACCCCAAGUUAUGCAAGUAAUGGACCACUUUAAAAAAAUAAAUAAAUAAAGCUCUUAAAAAUGUGUCCAGCUAUCUUCUUACAGUAAGUGCUGAAGUCGGCGAGCUUUAUAAUUCUAACUGGGCCAAUGAGAGUGAGUCGCUUGUGGGCCAAAGGCCCAGGAGGGAUUAUUUUAAUGUGAUUUUGUAAUGGCACACAGAGUCCACUCUUCUAAGCAUUGCGAGGAGUGGUCAAUUUGGGAAAAGUAAAAGAGAAAGAAUCCUUUCCCAUGAUGUUCCCCUGAGAUUUGAGGGUGAGUGAGAGCUGAUCCCAAGUGUCCUGGGGGGAGAACUCGGGGUAAGGGCUGGUAAGGGA
rnacentral:lncRNA from 1 species